AUUGAACGCUGGCGGCAGGCCUAACACAUGCAAGUCGAGCGAGCGGCGGGCGGGUGAGUAAUGUAUGGGGACUGCCCGAUAGAUGGGGAUAACUACUGGAUACGGUAUCUAAUACCGCAUACUAUCGGAUAACCCAUAGGGUAUUAGCUAGUAGGUGAGGUAAUGGCUCACCUAGGCGACGAUCCCUAGCUGGUCUGAGAGGAUGAUCAGCCACACUGGGACUGAGACACGGCCCAGACUCCUACGGAGGCAGCAGUGGGGAAUAUUGCACAAUGGGCGAAAGCCUGAUGCAGCCAUGCCGCGUGUGUGAAGAAGGCCCUAGGGUUGUAAAGUACUGUCAGUAGGGAGGCGUUACCGACAGAAGAAGCACCGGCUAACUCCGUGCCAGCAGCCGCGGUAAUUC
rnacentral:rRNA from 1 species